UGCUGGGAUUACAGGCGUGAGCCACCGCGCCCGGCCAGUAGUACCUUUUUCAGUUUCCUUAUUUUGCAUCAUCUGAAGUGGGGGUAGGUUUUCUGCACUUACCAUGGGCACUUGAUAUGGCCCAUUAUGAUGCAGUCACCAUAAGGCUGUGUGAAUAUUAGUCACAUUCUACAGAUGAGGACACUAAGGCUGAGUGGCUUAAUAAUCUUCAGCGAUCUUAAUGCCUGGCAGGAAUCCUUUGAAGGGAUAAAAGAAGUAAUCAGAGACCUGUCCAUGGUGACAAUAGGGUCAAGGUCACUUAACCUUCCUAGGCAUCAGUUUCCUCAGCUGUGAAAAGGGAAUAUUAACUUCAUUACAAGGUUAUCAGGAGGAUGGGUAACCAACCAUCUUCAGUCUGUAUGUCUCUCCAAUGCAUCCUGAAUCACUGGGAUUCCUUUGAAAAGAGAAAAUCAACCUUCUUCUUCCUGUUUCCUCCUCUGUCCUCUCUUCAUGGAUGAAUAAUCAUGUCUCCAUACCACAGGACAUUUCCCUCUGUGAAAAGUUUAAUUUCUGCAUUAAACCACUUGGCUUAAAAAAAAAUGAACUGGGAAGACAUUAUAACUCACAUUCCCCUCUGUGAAAAGUUUAAUUUCCAUAAACCUUAAAUCACUUGACUUAAAAAAAAAAUGAACUGGGAAAACUCUAACUGAGCAAUCUCUUGAGGAAGGACAAUGUUUACAGUAUGCAAAUAACCUAUUUGUCUGCUCCCCCUUUACGGAACUCCAGGGUCAAAGGGCUUCAUAGCUCGGGGGAAGGGAACCCAGAAGCCUGACAUGCUGGCAAACGAGUAAAAGUUUUUUACCCAUCAGACUUCUGGCUUUUCUCUCUCUCUGUGCAAACUGUUUGAAUGAAUGAUAAAAAUCACUGUUUAUAUACUCUGAAACGUUGUGAUUAAUGGAAAAAGGAUUUGUGAGGUGAGUCUUAAGCUAUAGAGAAUCUGUGAUACUUUGUGUUAAGAAUUUCUCUUUCUGUAUCUUUCUAUCAGAAAGAGGGGUACCUUAGGAUAAAAUGUGGGUCUAGGCCCAAAUGUCCAACAAUGAUAGACUGGGUUAAGAAAAUGUGGCACAUAUA
rnacentral:lncRNA from 1 species